rnacentral:rRNA from 1 species
AACGUAGGACGCAAGCGUUAUCCGGAGUUACUGGGCGUAAAGGGCGGGCAGGCGGUCCAGCAAGUGGGGUGUGAAAUCUCCCAGCUUAACUGGGAGAGGCCAUUCCAAACUGCUGGACUGGAGGGCAGUAGAGGUAGGCGGAAUUCCGGGUGGAGUGGUGAAAUGCGUAGAGAUCCGGAGGAACACCAGAGGCGAAGGCGGCCUACUGGGCUGCACCUGACGCUGAACCGCGAAAGCUAGGGGAGCGAACGGG